rnacentral:rRNA from 1 species
GAUGAACGCUGGCGGCGUGCCUAAUACAUGCAAGUCGAGCGAACAGAUGAGGAGCUUGCUCCUCUGACGUUAGCGGCGGACAGGUGAGUAACACGUGGAUAACCUACCUAUAAGACUGGGAUAACUUCGGGAAACCGGAGCUAAUACCGGAUAAUAUAUUGAACCGCAUGGUUCAAUAGUGAAAGACGGUUUUGCUGUCACUUAUAGAUGGAUCCGCGCCGCAUUAGCUAGUUGGUAAGGUAACGGCUUACCAAGGCAACGAUGCGUAGCCGACCUGAGAGGGUGAUCGGCCACACUGGAACUGAGACACGGUCCAGACUCCUACGGGAGGCAGCAGUAGGGAAUCUUCCGCAAUGGGCGAAAGCCUGACGGAGCAACGCCGCGUGAGUGAUGAAGGUCUUCGGAUCGUAAAACUCUGUUAUUAGGGAAGAACAAAUGUGUAAGUAACUAUGCACGUCUUGACGGUACCUAAUCAGAAAGCCACGGCUAACUACGUG